rnacentral:rRNA from 1 species
UACGAAGGGUGCAAGCGUUAUUCGGAAUUACUGGGCGUAAAGCGUUCGUAGGCGGUUUGUUAAGUCUGAUGUGAAAGCCCUGGGCUCAACCUGGGAAUUGCAUUGGAUACUGGCAGGCUAGAGUGCGGUAGAGGAUGGCGGAAUUCCCGGUGUAGCAGUGAAAUGCGUAGAGAUCGGGAGGAACAUCUGUGGCGAAGGCGGCCAUCUGGGCCAGCACUGACACUGAGGCACGAAAGCGUGGGGAGCAAACAGG